ACAACUGGAAAGGUGCGGGGCCGGCCAGCCCAGCCAGGUUUGUCUCAAACAGGAACCCGGAGAACGAGCAGGAAGUUCUCUCUCUCUCUCCCCGUCUCAAGGAGCCACCGCCGUCUUUAUCUCUCUCUCUCUGGAAAGCGCGUGCAUCAGACCCCGAGACGUCUCUAUCGGCUCGCUCUCGCCGAUUGAGACGCCACACAAAGACGGCUUCUUCCCCUAACGAGCAGGAGACACGCGCAGUCCCUGCAAAAUCGGGGUGCUCCCGCCCCCACCUUGAUCCGCUUGGGGCCCUGAACUAUUUGCUCAAUUGGCCGGUGAUGGCGGAGGGCGGAGCGGCGCAGGACCGGCCGAAGGCCUCAUCCCUGCUCCUCCACCGCAGGGAGCGGCUCGUCCUGGCCAUGGGCCCGCAGGUGGAGGGCCUCCUGGACGUCCUGUUCACUCGCAACAUCGUCUCCCUGGAGGAGCGAGAGAGCAUCGUGUGCGGCAGGACGCCGUACGACGCGGCGCGCCAGUUGCUCUGCAUCGUCGGCAGCAAGGGCGAGGAUGCCGCCGCGGAGCUGGUGGGAGCGCUCGCGAGGGCGGCCCUCAUCCAGGUGCCCCCGGGGUUCGAGCUCCGCACGGACCAAGCCGACGCCGACGCCACCACCAGCACCGGCUUCGCCACUGCCGCCGACGCCACCGCCGCCGACGCCACCGCCGCCGACGCCACCGCCGACGACGCCAACGCCGCGACGCUUGUCGCGGUGCCGUCGCCCCCCGACGGUGCCCUGGCUGCGAUGCGGCUCCACCACCUGGCACUGGUGGACAAGCUGGAUGAUGUGGACGUGCUGGCAGAGCAGCUGGUGCUGGACGGCGUCUUGAGUCACGAGGACCGGGACAGAGUGACGCUUCCGCAGCAGACGCGCCAGCAAAACGUGAGGAAGCUGCUCAAUCUGAUUCACACGAAAGGGGAAGCCGCGGCGGCCGCGUUUCUCCGCUGCGUCGACGUGAAAGCGGUGGCCGAGAAGGACUACUUCCCUUCGCCCGUGGAGGCGUACAAGACUAAGCUGCAUCGGCACCACGAGGACGGCUCGCAGUCACUGCAGAUGUACAGCCAUCUUGGCCACCUCGCCCUCGACGACAUCUACACCGAGACGCAGCUGCACGCGCUGCCCACCGCGGCCGACGAGGAGCCCCUCGUGCUCACGCUGGACACGCUGCUGCCGCCACCCCCGGCCGUGGCCGGCAACGGCCCCGACGCCGGCUGCCGCCCCGGGCCGCCCAGCAAGGACGUGGUCCUUCUGUCGGGCGACGCGGGCAGCGGCAAGAGCGUGCUGGUGCAGAAGCUGCGGCGGGAGUGGUCGAAGGGCGCGGCGUACGCCGAGUUCGAGUUCCUCUUCUCGUUCUCCUGCAGCCACCUGAACCACGUGAAGAAGGAGAUCUGCCUGAGGGACCUGCUCUUCAACAACUGCUGCUGCCCGGACGCGUGCCCCGACAAGGUGUUCGAGUAUGUGCUGAGACACCCGGACAGGACGCUGCUCGUGUUCGACGCCAUGGACGAGUUCCGGCGAGACAUGGCUGGCGGCGGCGGCGACGUGGCGGUGUGCGCGUCGCCGGAGGGCGCCGCCCCCGCCUUCACGCUCGUCGCCAACGUCUUGCGGGGGAACCUGCUCAAGGGUGCGAAAAAGAUCGUGACGUCGCGAACCAACUCGGACGUGAAGGUCAUGCUGGAGAUGCACGUCGGGCGGAACGUCGUCGCCUCGGGCUUCUCCAAGGAUGCCGUCAUGGCAUACCUGUCCAAGCGGCGCGAGAGCGAGGGCGCCACCAGCCGGGCCACGGAGCAGCUGCUCAAGUCCGACCCGAACAUCUACAGCCUCUGCCAAAUUCCGCUCUACUGCUGGAUCGUGUCGCAGUGCCACGGUCUGCUCCGGCAGCCGCAGCCGCCGCAACACCAGGCGGCGCCGGCGGGGGCCCCGGACUCGUCGCUGACGAUCACCGAGAUUUACCUGAGCAUGCUCGAGGUGUGCUUGUGUCACAGCCGGCCGCAGCGGGACCGCGAGGCCCUCUUCGGCGCCUCCCUGCCGCUGCUGCUCAAGCUGGGCAGCCUCGCCCAGAAGGCGCUGCUGGAGUCGGAGACCUCGUUCUCGUCGUCGCGCCUCAAGGAGCACGGCCUCACGGAGGAGGACCUCGCGUACGGCUUCCUCAUCAAGUCUCAGAGCUACCAUGGCUUCGGCACGGAGGACGUGUUCGUGUUCAUGCACGUCACCUUCCAGGCAUUCUUCGCCGCGCUCCUCCUGGUGCUGAGCGCCGACCGCGGCGCGCGCGACGUGCUCGGGCACUUCCCCAACUUCUCGCGAGCGACUCAGUGGCGGAGACUGGCGCCGGCAUGCGUGGUCGGGUGGCAGCGGCGGAACCAGUGCCGCAAGCUCACCGACUCGGAGAAGAGCAACCUGCAGUUGGUGUCGCAGUUCCUCAGCGGCCUCCUGUCCGAGCGGCACUCCGCGACGCUGUCGAAGAUGGUGGACCGCGGCGGCGGCGGGGCCCUCCGGCGGAAGCGCGGGGCGCUGCGCGCGCACCUGCGCCGGUGCCUGCGCGUUCACCUGGAGGAUCUUGCGGCGAGCGUCCGACUGACACGCCGCGACAUGGCCAGCUACCGCGGACACCUGACGUGCGACUUCCUGUGGGUGGUGUGCUGCGCCCACGAGUUCGGCGACGAGACGGUGGCGCGGCGGCUGGCGCGCGACAUGCCGAGCUACAUGAAGCUGAAUUACGCGUCAGUGGGGCCGGCACACUGCACGCACCUGGCCUUCGUGCUGCAGCACGCCAGGUCGGCCGUGUCGGCCAUGCUCGACAACAACCACAUCGAGGACCUGGGCUUGCACCAACUGCUGCCGUGCCUGCACAAGCUGGACCAGCUGCGAGUAAGCAGUAACCGGAUAACGGACGAUGGCAUCCGCAUGCUGGUGCCGGAGUUGAUGAAGCACAACACCUUGAAGAACCUUGUGCUCUUUAAGAACAGCUUGACGGACGUCAUUGUGCCCGACCUGGCGAAGUUCAUCGAGAGGAGCAGCACCAUUGAGCAACUCAUGCUCGGCGGGAAUGAGUUCACGGGAGCGGGCGCCGUGCUGCUGGCAGAUGCGCUGAAGCGCAACCGCUCUGUAAAGAUCGUCGGUUUGUGGGGCAACGCGAUCGGCGACCGGGGGGCCGUGGCGUUCGCAGAGGUGCUGGAGCAAAACACGCCGCUCGCCUGGCUCAGCCUGGUGGGCAAUGGCAUUGGCAAUGAAGGCGUCAGACGACUUUCCGAGGCUCUUCUCAAGAACUCCAUCCUGCAGGAUCUCUGGUUGGCUCGGGGAGAACUCCCUGACGGACGAGGAGGCCCUCAUCCUCGCCGACGUCAUCCGUGGAAAAAUGCACCUCGAGCAGCUGUGGUUGAACAAAAAUAAAUUUACCGUGCUCGGCGCCGAGGCCAUCGCUUCUGCCCUCAAAGACAACACCUGCUUGAAGUGUGUCGUGUUGAGGGAUAAUGAUAUCCCUUACGACGAAUACGUGAAGAUCCAAGAAAAAGACGGCAGAAUAGAGUAGUAGCGCAGACCACUUGUCGACAUUUUGUUACAUUGAAAUUCAAAUUGCGACAAAUGCCGGCGGCAGCUGUUUACGAGUUUUGCCGGACGUCAGUGUCAUCUGUUGAUACCCAAGCGGGGGUGAAUGCACUUUUUUGUUUUUACACUAACUCAACUUGCACUAAAAAGACGUACAAGACCAAAGCCAUAGCCACUCGUUUGUGUAAUGGGUUCCGGAGACACUUGCAGAGGCGACUCUUUCUUACAACACACCACACCCACAGUCCUGAUCCAGCCUAGGGACACAGCCUACUCCUAGCGUGCCUGACAUUGGUUACGCUCUCGGGUCCUCCGGCUAUGAUUACCCUAGGGGAGGCUACCUAACCCGACCCAGCCAAGGUGCGGGUCUAGACUCUGGCUUCCUUGGACCUCGCCCUUACAAGGGUGUCGGGCCGGGAGUCCCAGAGUCCCACCACUGGCCCGCACAGCGUCCCGGCCCUUACAAGGACAGCGGGGCGAGGGGGUCCAGGGUCCUAAGCUGGCUGGUCUUGGUUCUUUGGCUGCGACUGGUCCAGAUCGGCUGGGGAAGUCCCCUUUUAUGCCCCUUGCCCAUCGAGGAGUGGGGCUGCGUGAGAUCCCAGAACCACCUUAGCCCCCCCCCCCCUCGUUGGUGGCGCCGAGGGGCUUAUCUGUCUGGGAUCUUGAGCCCCCAGCGGCGAGGGGCUUAGCUGUCUAGGAUCCUGAGCCCCCAGCAGCCCCUCCCCUCUUAGGCUGACACAGCAGCCCCUCCCCUGGCGGUACGAGGUACCCCCUGUGGAUGGGCCCCGUCUACCGCUGCCGGUAAGUGUGGUCCAUCUACGUCACUACACAUACACAGACACUAAGGUAUUGUGAAAGCCCAGUGGGCUCUGUAGUUGUAUCUACUGACUGUACAGUAUAGUAUCUACUGAGCCAGUAGUAGAUACUGACUGUAUAGUAGUAUUUACUGACUGUAGCAGUAUUUACUGACCGUAGUGGUAUAUAUUGACUGUUUUAGUAUCUACUAACUCUAUAUAUCAGUAACUACCAACUCGAUAGCAAUGUAGUGACUUGCAGCGUCACUACAUUGUACACACACACACGUGUGACGUAACUAUGCAUGGGAGCGUCACUACCAGACGGGUCUACAUACCCAGACAUGACGUCAUCCCGUCUGGAGGCGGGAAUGACGUCAGGGCCGGUUCAAGGAUCUGGAGGCCGUAGGUGAGGCCACGGGGGUUGUGUAAGGCUGUGACACUCUGAGUGAACCCAGCUGGACACGUGACCGGCACAAGGUGGAGGCCGGGGGCCCGGGGGGCACCUCGGGGGGCCACGUGGACAGACGAGCAGCUUCGAGAGGAUUCUCGAAGGAAGGCGUGACCGGGGUGGGGGCCCGGACACGCCAAGGCCCAUAUAAGCAGCCUCCUCACCGGGUUCGAGGCUGCCCGUGUCAAGAAAGAAGAUGCAUCGUGAAUAUGCCUCGUGAAGAGUCAAGCAUCCAGUCAGCUGACCAGCCAGUAGCCCACCUGGCUGGGUCAUGCUAGUUGUAUUAGAGAGUCUGUGUGAGUGAUGGUGUGUGUUAGUUAGAAUAGGUCGGUGGUCACAACCCUAUGUUAAGGAGCGUUCUGUUAACAAUAAAUAGUGUUG